rnacentral:rRNA from 1 species
AGGAAAAGAAACCAACAGGGAUUGCCCCAGUAACGGCGAGUGAAGCGGCAACAGCUCAAAUUUGAAAUCUGGCCCCCCGGCCCGAGUUGUAAUUUGGARAGGAUGCUUCUGGCGCGGCGCCGUCCGAGUUCCUUGGAACAGGACGCCACAGAGGGUGAGAGCCCCGUACGGACGGACGCCUAGCCUCUACGAAGCUCCUUCGACGAGUCGAGUAGUUUGGGAAUGCUGCUCAAAAUGGGAGGUAAAUUUCUUCUAAAGCUAAAUACCGGCCAGAGACCGAUAGCGCACAAGUAGAGUGAUCGAAAGAUGAAAAGCACUUUGAAAAGAGGGUUAAAAAGUACGUGAAAUUGUUGAAAGGGAAGCGCCUGUGACCAGACUUGCGCCCCGCGGACCACCCGGCGUUCUCGCCGGUGCACUCUGCGGUGCGCAGGCCAGCAUCGGUUCUCCCAGGGGGACAAAGGCCGCGGGAACGUAGCUCCUUCGGGAGUGUUAUAGCCCGCGGCGGCAUGCCCCUGGGGGGACCGAGGACCGCGCUUCGGCAAGGAUGCUGGCGUAAUGGUCACCAGCGACCCGUCU